AUGUCGCCGGCAAGCCCGCCGGACGCGAAGAAGCUGCCGUGGUUCGAGCCGUACGCGCCGGCGGGGUUCACGGACCUGUCCACGACGGCCAAGCGGGAGGACGUGCAGCCGCUGGCCUUCGAGGUCGCCGAGCGCACCGCCCGGGGCUUCACCGGCCACUGGUGGCGCGAGCGCGCGCCGCACCUCCGCAACCUGCUCCGCUUCGAGGUGCCCUGCGUGCUCACCAACACGCUCGAGUUCGUGGACAAGGACGGCAGGGAGCAGUGCUUCACAGCGCAAUUCCUGUGCCAGUCGGCGGGGCAGGGGAAGUCGAUGUUGCUCGACAUGGGGUUCCUAUCGUCGCAGAACGAGGUGCUGCUCCGGGAGAAGGUGCCCACCAAGGAGCUCUACCUCAACCUCCGCUCCUCGGACACCUGGGUGGCCGAUUACCGGCGGUGGAUGGACAGGGCCGGCCACGACAUGCCCUACUACUUCGGCCACAGCACCAUGUCGUCGCCGCCCGUGCCGGCCGUCGUGGAGCAGGCGCCGGCCGCCGCCGGGAUCUCCGCGUCAUUCCCGGCCAAGGGCGGCUUCGGCACGCAGCACGGGCCCAACCUGACCAUCAGGUACUUCCGGCACGCCGUGCACUGCAAGGGGUGCAUGGACAGUGUCAACAGAAGGGAAGAGAAAGAUACUGGUAGCCCUGUGUUGGAGACGGAAGUGCCAGCCACGCAUAUAAGGACUCUAAACACCGAGGCUAAAGGGAACGCGUUGAAUCACGAGUUUGUUGCGAAUCGUCCACGGCGUCCACGCAAGGACCCCAAUCACCAACCACCUAAUGUGGUGGCCAGGCUGGGGCGAAGCCUGAACCUCGGCGAAGAGGUCCAGGAAGUUGGUGUUGCACCAGCGACCACCGACCGCUUUGCGGAGGCAACUCCACAAGAAUUGGGCAGAGACGCCGGAGAAGAAGAUAUGAUUGGAAUCCUCGAGCGUCCCGCACAGGGGGCACAUCCCAUCUCCGGGGCCAUUACGUUUCAGCACCUCGACUCCAGAAGGAACCUGCCCACGGAUCCACUGCCAGAGGAAGAUCCUGAUCUUAAGGGGAAGUUUGAUUUCCCAGAUCAAUAUAAGAGCGCCGAUUUAAUGAUCGUCACCAUCACAAAGGACAUCCAGCUGGCUAAAGAAUAUUGCUAUCCACCGCGGGAACCUAAAGACUAUUCUCUUCCUGGCCUCUACCAUGACACGGUGCUCAAGCUUACUAGCCAGCAGAAAUCUGAAAACAACUACUGCCCCCAAAUUUUGCAUGAUAUCUUGUAUGAGUGUGAACCACAUGAAUUCUGCAUGAAGAUCUUCACUCAUGCUUUCUAUGCUAACUCCAAGAGGAGCAACGAGGAGCUACUCAAGCUGCGCAACACCCUGCGGACUUUGCCAGAAACAACAUUCAACAGCAUCACUAAGGUGAUGUUCAAGUUUUCUUACAGUGAUCUGGCUAAAGAAUACAAGUCUUGCUUGCUGCACCUAGCUAUAUUCUCUCCCGGACAAAAGAUCAGGCGGUCAACCUUGAUUGCACGGUGGGUUGCAGAAGGACUGACAUACAAGGAAGAUUGGCCCAGUUCUGUGCGUCAGGCCAACCAAUGUUUUGACACACUUGUUGGCCGGUGCCUUGUUUAUCCUGCUGAUAUUGGUAUCACAGGAAAUGUAAAGAGUUGUGUCGUAGGUGAUCUAAUUCAUGGAUUCAUUACCACAAUUGCUAGAAAACAACACAUUGUGGAGACACGCCUGUCACAUCACUUGGCUCGCCACUUCUCCAUUUUCAAUGAUCUACAACUCCGCAGCUCUGAUAGAAUUGACAAAUUCUUCGAGGGGCUCUCUAAAUCAUCUCAAGUAUCCCUGCUCAAGGUGCUAGAUCUAGAAGGUUGUCAGUGUUUUCUUGGGAAGAACCAGCAGUACCUCAAGGACAUCUGCAACAAGAUGUUACUGCUCAAGUAUUUGAGCCUGAGGAAAACAAAUAUUACCCGGCUACCCAGUGAAAUUAACAACCUCCAUGAGCUAGAGGUACUGGAUAUCCGAGAAACUAGGAUGCCUGCACAUGCAACAACAAAUAUCCUGCUCUUGAAGCUGAAGCGUCUGCUUGCUGGUCACAUUGAUCUGAAUUCAAGCAAUUUUCGCUAUGGUGUCCGGAUUCCUCGUAGGAUCGGCAAAAUGGUAAACAUGGAGGUACUAUCUGAGGUCAAGGCCUGGCAGAGUAAUGAUGUAAAAGAUAUUGGAAAGCUAUGGCAGCUGAGGAAGCUAGGUGUGGUUAUUCAAGAUAAGGAUGAUCACCUCAGGAAUUUGCUUCAGACGAUCAGUGACCUACAUGAGUGCCUCUGUUCUCUGUCAAUCACUGCUAUUCCCAUAACCACACCACACGAGGGUACUCCUUCCAGUGCAGAGUUACCAUAUGGCAUUGGCUCUAUGUUGGAAAACCAUUUCAAGAUUAUUGAGAGUCUAAGCAUCAGGGGAGCCACACAGAAGGGGCGUCUUCUUCCAUUGUUCAUAAAAGGUGAUAAAAACAAACUUGUCAAGGUAACUCUAUGUCACACUCUGCUGAGCCAAGAUAAUCUGAAACUCCUUGCCAAGCUGCCCAAGUUACAGUGUCUCAGGCUCCAACACAUUGUAUGCACCGAGCACAUGCUGAACUUCAAGGACGGUGAAUUCAGAUGCCUCAAGCUCCUUGUUGUUGAGGGCUCGGACUUGACUAAUGUCACUUUUGAGGAUGGUGCAGCCAGUGAGCUCGAGAAGAUGGUUUUGUCUAUCACCAGCAUAUGUUCUAUUUCUGGAGUUGACUAUCUUACAAAUUUGCAAGAGCUUGAGUUAAACAGCAGCUUCUGCGGCAGUUUGCUGUCAUCAUUUGACAAUGCCAAACAGAUAGCCAAGCUGACUCUUUGUGGUACAUUGCUAGAGCUAGCUGCUCUACAACUGCUCACCAAGAAACCAAACAUACGCUGUCUGGUGCUCUUGGACAAGUCUUUUGGUGGAACACAGAAUGGGAUUACAUUAGAAAAAGAUGAAGGGUCUGCUUCUAGGCUCGAGAAGAUUGUCUGGUCAUCUUCCACAUCUCUCUCCGGCAUCGACAAACUUUCCCGAUUGAAGGAGCUCGAGUACAAGGGUGAGCAUGUCCCUCCUGAGACACCGGUUGUGUAUGCCGGCGACGCAGUGGCGGCGGCCAUCAUGGAACCCAAGCGGCGAAUACCUCUCAUGUUCUACUUUUCGUCGGUGUUGGCGGCCGCCGCAGACGCGCUGACCGCCUCCGCCUACAGGGCGCAAUUCCGCCAACAUUUGCGGCGGUUGGCGUGGCUGAAGGCGCGGGAGGAGUGUGAUAACAUGACGGCGUCCACGACAUGCAUCAUGGUAUUGAUGGCCUGGGGCUGCGAGGAAGGUGGAGCAAUGGCAAUGGAGAGUACAACUGGGUUAUUAACAAGGGGUUUCGGCGACCGCAUGGGCUUCGGGUGCCGCAGUGGAGGCGGCAGCGUCGUCACCUGCAAGCGCAGGAAUGACAAUGAGGCAGGCGGCUCCGGCCUCCGCCCUGUCGUGUCGGACAGGCGGAGGAAGGCGGCGCGCAAGCGCGGUGCCAAGUCCCGCAGCGACGACGCUCCGGCUUGGGCCAGCUUUCGUCGCCUCGAUGGCAUCUUCGAUCCGGCGCUGGAGCGUCGUAGGGAGGUGGAAGUCGCGUGGUUCAACACGAAGGAGGCUACCGCAGACGGAGAUGUAGAUGCGGCCGCGCGUGUGCCGGCGCUCCUGGAGGAGUUCCAGGACGACGGCUUGUGGGAUGUGCUAGAGAUGAUCUUAUCAGAUACACCGCAAUAUUUGCAUAUCGCUCCUCCGGCGAGAGCGAGACCAGUUCGACCAGAAACCACCCGCCGGCGGGCGGAAGGAGAGGAAGGAGCCAUGGCCGAGCUCGCGACGGGCGCCGUGAGCUCGCUGCUGGUCGUCAUCCGCAGCGAGGCGCUGCUGCUGCGCGGCGUCCGGGACGACGUGCAGUUCAUCAAGGAAGAGAUGGAGAGCAUGAAGAGCUUCCUGGCGCACCUGGCGAGGUCGGCGCCCCAUGGCGGCGAGCACGACGAGCAGGUGCGCACCUGGAUGAACCAGGUGCGGCUGCUCGCCCAGGACUGCAACAACUGCAUCGACCUCUACCUCUACAGGGGGAACCCCGACAUCCACCGCGCCAGGGGCGGGCUCCGAGGCUACCUCUGGUGGGCGACCUGGUUCCUGCAUAAGCUGGCCGCACAGCACCGCGCAGCUGAGCAGUUGCGCGUGCUCAAGGAGCGGGCGCGCGACGUCGGUGAGCGGCGGUUGAGGUAUGGCGUGGAGGUCCCAGACAAGUCAGGGAAGGGGCAAUUGAUGUCGUCGCCGCGGGCUGCUGCAGCAGGUGACUAUGCUGCUGCUGCGGCCGAGGACGACGACGAAGAAGAAGGUGGUCCAAGAGCCUUCACCGAGCCUCGCACUCUGGACGACUACGUCAGGGCAAAGCUAUGGGAGUGGUUGAAUGGAAUUCCUGCAGACGCCGGGGAAACUUUGUCCGUGGUCGUCGUAGCACCCUAUACAUAUCAGGACCUCCUCGCUCUUGUACAAGAAACCUGGGUUUUCAGUCAAAACCCACAGGGCGGCUACCAUCGCAUUGUCGUGGUUGACAUCCCUGUGGUACACCUGGAAUUUAUGCCGCUACGGCCUAAGGAAGUUCUCUUCUACAUUCUGCGCGAGCUCGAGCAUGCCAAAUCCAACCAUCAGGAACAAGGCACAGAAGGCCAAGUGGAUCUUGAGUCUUGGGAAGCUUACAUAAGAAGAUUGCAAAUUUACCGUGAAAAGAAGAGGGCUAUUGCUCUUCUUGACAUCGAGGAGAAUAUCAAAGAGAUGAAGAUUGAUGAAAAGCUUGACAAAAUCAGAAGUGGUAUUCAUGGUCGAGUAGCAAAGGGCGACGGGCUACCCAAGGGCGACAAGCUACAGGGAGAUUUUGAUCAGUUGGACCUGGAUGAACAACUUCAGCUGCUGCUCCAGACAGCGUCUCAACAAGAUCAAAACGGGAAGAACAAAGACAUGCAUAGAUUACCAGCAUGGGACAAAAAGAAUAUCAUCGUCAAGAAGCUUAAGGAGCAUAUGGAUGCAGAGGAAAAGGACAAGAAGGGAGGAGGUGAAGUAACCAUACAUCAGGAGGAAGCAGAGCAUAUGGAGGAGGGGGAAGGAGAAGUAGCCAUACAUCGGGAGGAGGAUAUGGAGGGGGAAGGAGAAGUAACCAUACAUCAGGAGGAAGCCGAGCAUAUGAAGGAGGGGGAAGGAGAAGUAACCAUACAUCAGGAGGAAACCAAGCAUAUGGAGGAGGGGGAAGGAGAAGUAGCCAUACAUAGUGAGGAGGAUAUGGAAGAGGGGGGAGGGGACGUAGCCAUACACAUGGAGGAGAAAGAGGAGGAGGAGGACGACGACGACGAAGAAGAAGAAAGUAAGCAGACGACAUGGAUUCACCUAGAUGAGGCACAAUAUGUACACAUCCUGCGGAAGUUGUUCCCCAAGAGCAGCAGCAGCAGCAGUAGCAGGCCCCUGCAAGUUCAAGACCGAUCCUUGGACAAGCAAACUACAAAGCCCACAACGGCUACACUGGGUGAGGAUCAAAUAAAAAAACUCAUCCACGACGCAAAGGAAGACAUCUUACGGGAGCUGCGGCAAGGCAAAUAUGACAAGGGUGGUGGGACAGGUGAACCUGGUGCUCCCGAUCAAAACUCAGAAACUGUUUCUGGAAAAAUAUUUGCCGGUUUCGUGGAUCAGAUGAUAGAAAAAAUGAAGGACGAGUUCAAAGAGCAACUCAAGAUCAAAGGGCUCGUGGACAAGAUUAAAAAUAACUUGAAUCGUCUUCCACGCUCGAAUAAGUAUGAAUCCCCCCUGUUUAUCCUCAAAGUUGAUGAGCUCAUGGAUGUUUCCACAUGUGAGGAUAUCAGAAAUGCUUUGAGCCUGUUAAACUGCAGCGCCGAUUUAAUGAUCGUCACUGCGACGAUGGAAAUCCAACUUGCUAAAGAAUAUUGCUAUCCACCGCGAGAACCUGUAGACUAUUCUCUUGCUGGCCUCUACCAUGAUAUAGUACUCGAGCUUACUAGUCAGCAGAAGAAUGAAGACAGCUACAACCCCCAGAUUUUUCAAGAUAUCUUGUACAAGUGUGAGCCGCAUGAAUUCUGCAUGAAGGUCUUCACUCAUGCUUUAUAUGCUAACCCCAGGAGGAGCAAUGAGGAGUUACUCAAGCUACGCAGCACCUUGCAGGCUUUGCCAACAACAUCAUUCAACAGCAUCGCUAAGGUGAUGUUCAAGUUCUCUUACAAUGACCUGCCUAAAGAAUACAAGUCCUGCUUGCUGUACCUGGCUAUCUUCUCUCCCGGACAAAAGAUCAGGCGGUCAACCUUGAUUGCACGCUGGGCUGCAGAAGGCCUGACAUCCAAGGAAGAUUGGCCCAGUUCUGUGCGUCAGGCCAACCGAUGUUUUGACACACUCGUUGGCCGGUGCCUUGUUGAUCCUGCUGAUAUCGAUACCAUGGGAAAUGUAAAGAGCUGCGUCGUAAGUGAUCCAGUUCAUGGAUUCAUUACCACAAUCGCCAGAAAACAACACAUUGUCGAGACACGCCUGUCACAUCACUUGGCUCGCCACUUCUCCAUUUUCAAUGAUCUCCAACUCCGCAGCUCUGAUAGAAUUGAUCAAUUCUUCAAGGGGCUCUCUAAAUCAUCUCAAGUAUCCCUGCUCAAGGUGCUAGAUCUAGAAGGUUGUCUGUGCUUUCUUAAGAAGAAACAUGAGUACCUCAAGGAAAUCUGCAGCAAGAUGUUACUGCUCAAGUAUCUGAGCCUAAGGAGAACAGAUAUUACCCAGCUACCCAGUGAAAUCAACAACCUCCGUGAGCUAGAGGUACUGGAUAUCCGAGAGACUAGGGUGCCUCCACAUGCAACAGCACAUAUCCUGCUAUUGAAGCUGAAGCGUCUGCUUGCUGGUCACAUUGAUCCAAGCAAUUUUGAAUCUAAUCCCCAGAUUCCUCAUAGGAUCGACAAAAUGGUAAACAUGGAGGUACUAUCCAAUGUCAAGGCCAAGCAGAGUCAUGAUUUAAAAGAUAUUGGAAGGCUAUGGCAGCUGAGGAAGCUAGGUGUGGUUAUCGAUGAUAAGGAUAGUCACCUCAAGAAUUUGCUUAAGGCGAUCAGUGACCUACAUGAGUGUCUCUGUUCUCUGUCAAUCACUACUCCCAUAGCCACACCACAUGAGGCAGAGUUACCAGAAGUCAAUGUACCUUACCUAAAAAAACAUCCCAAGAUUCUUGAGUCACUAAGCAUCAAGGGAACCAUACAGAAGGGGCGUCUUCUUCCAUUGUUUAUAAAAGGUGAUAACAACAAACUUGCCAAGAUAACUCUAUGUCAAACUCUGCUGAGCAAAGAUGAUAUGGAAGUCCUCGCCAAGCUGCCCAAGUUAAGGUGUGUCAGGCUCCAACACAUUGUAUGCACCGAGCACAUGCUGAACUUCAAGGGCGGUGAAUUCAGAUGCCUCAAGUACCUUGUUGUCGAGGACUCGGACUUGACUAAUAUCACUUUUGAGGAUGGUUCAGCCAGUGAGCUCGAGAAGAUAGUUUUGUCUAUCAGCAGCGAAUGCUCUGUUUCUGGAGUUGACUGUCUUCCUAAACUGAAAGAGCUUGAGUUGAACAGCAGCUUAUGCGUCAGUUUGCUUCACGAUGCCAAACAGAUAGCUAAGCUGACUCUUCGUGAUACAUUGUUAGAGGUAGAUGCUCUACAACUGCUCACCAAGAAACCAAAUAUACGCUGUCUGAUGCUCUUGGACAAGUCUCUUGGUGGAACACAGAAUGAGAUUACAUUAGAAAAAGAUGAGUUCUUAUGGCUCAACCUCCUUGUUGUUGACUGCUCGGCCAUCACCAAGAUUGUCUUCAACAGCGGGUCUGCUCCUAGGCUCGAGAAAAUUGUCUGGUCAUCUUCCACAUCUCUCUCCAGCAUCGACAAACUUCCAAGAUUGAAGGAGCUUGAGUUCAACGGUGACAAAGUCCCCAAUGAGGUGAGUGAGGCCAUUGAAAAGCAUAGAAACAAGCCUAGUCUUAAACAUAAUGGACCAGAAACUCGAAAUGAAGCAAAAGGAGAUGAAGAAGAGGAUGACAACGAUGCUGCAACAUUCUCCUGCUGGAAGAAACAGCGUGCAUUGCAACUGAAGUAUUUCCGUUUACUUGCUCUACCUGAGUGCCCUAGUGGCUUUGAUUGA
rnacentral:rRNA from 1 species